UUAAGUUCAGCGGGUAUCCCUACCUGAUCCGAGGUCAACCGGUAAAAAAAUAAUGGUCUGACCAGCGCCAGCCGGGCCACAUUGAGCGGAGAGAGUUCCCAUACGCUCGGGCACCGGAUCGGGCGCCGCCACUGCCUUUCGGGCCUGUUUUCGCUUCCGAAAACAAAGUCCAACACACAAGCCGUGCUUGAAGGUUGCAA
rnacentral:misc_RNA from 1 species